rnacentral:rRNA from 1 species
AGCAGCCGCGGUAAUUCCAGCUCCAAUAGCGUAUAUUAAAAUUGUUGCAGUUAAAAAGCUCGUAGUUGAAUUUCGGGGUUAGUAGGUUGGUCAUGCCUCCGGUAUGUACUGAUCUCACUGAUUCCUCCUUCCUUAUGAACCGUAAUGCCAUUAAUUUGGUGUUGCGGGGAAUUUGGACUGUUACUUUGAAAAAAUUAGAGUGUUUAAAGCAAGCUAACGCUUGAAUACAUUAGCAUGGAAUAAUGAAAUAGGACGUUCGAUCUUAUUUUGUUGGUUUCUAGGAUUGACGUAAUGAUUAAUAGGGAUAGUUGGGGGCAUUAGUAUUCAAUUGUCAGAGGUGAAAUUCUUGGAUUUAUUGAAGACUAACUACUGCGAAAGCAUUUGCCAAGGAUGUUUUCAUUAAUCAAGAACGAAAGUUAGGGGAUCGAAGACGAUCAGAUGCCGUCGUAGUCUUAACCAUAAACUAUGCCGACUAGGGAUCGGAUGAUGUUAAUUUUUUAAUGACUCAUUCGGCGCCUUA